CAAUAGCGUAUAUUAAAGUUGUUGCGGUUAAAAAGCUCGUAGUUGAAUUUCUAGGCAGGUAUAAUUUGGAUUUAUUUCAGUUAUAUUUGUCUAUCCGAUAUUGAACUAUAUUGGGUAUUAAGUUAUCCAGAUAGCGAACUAUCAUUUUACUUUGAAAAAUUAGAGUGUUUCAGGCAGGCAAUUGCCCGAAUAUCUUAGCAUGGAAUAAUGGAAUAGGACUUUGGUUCAUUUGAUUGGUUAUUGAAUCAGAGUAAUGAUUAAUAGGGACAGUUGGGGGCAUUAGUAUUUAAUUGUCAGAGGUGAAAUUCUUGGAUUUAUUAAAGACUAACUUAUGCGAAAGCAUUUGCCAAGGAUGUUUUCUAUUAAUCAAGAACGAAAGUU
rnacentral:rRNA from 1 species